AAUUGAUAAGAAGCGGGUGCAGGACGCAUUGAGCAGUCAUUGGUCUUAUCCCUAUGCAACAAUGAGUGUAGGGGAAGAGUUGGCGGCCUCACCACAGAGACAAGGUGGAGCGCAGAUCACUCCGCCGUCUCUGCCUGGGAGUCCAUUUUAGGUCUACCGAAACCAGGACAAUCCCCGGAUGUGACUAUCAUGGCCGCCAACGGAGACUCGGGCAGCGUUUGAGGUUCCUAAAUAGAUGAUUGGAAGAAAAACUGAAGAUUAGAGGA